AUUGAACGCUGGCGGCAGGCUUAACACAUGCAAGUCGAGCGAGCGGCGGACGGGUGAGUAAUGUCUGGGAAACUGCCUGAUGGAGGGGGAUGACUACUGGAAACGGUAGCUAAUACCGCAUACCAUCAGAUGUGCCCCGAUGGGAUUAGCUAGUGGGGGGGGUAAUGGCUCACCUAGGCGACGAUCCCUAGCUGGUCUGUGAGGCUGCCCAGCCACACUGUAACUGAGGCACGGUCCAGACUCCGACGUGAGGCAGCAGUGGGGAUUAUUGCACAAUGGGCGCAAGCCUGAUGCAGCCAUGCCGCGUGUGUGAAGAAGGCCUUCGGGUUGUAAAGCACUUUCAGCGAGGAGGCGUUACUCGCAGAAGAAGCACCGGCUAACUCCGUGCCAGCAGCCGCGGUAAUUC
rnacentral:rRNA from 1 species